UGUUGCUGCGAUGGCUCUUGUCGAUGCUGAGGAUAAAGAGGCUGAUGUAGGCGUCCAGCGAGAACUGGUACAUGGGGUCGAUGCGGCCCAUGUCGUUGAGCACGAAGAACAGCACCGAGGCCCGCUGGGCGCAUGGGCGCUCCUCGAGCUGCCUCUUGCCAGCGGCGAUAUUGACGACCAGUGAGUCCUUCUGCUCUUCCAGCUCCGGCCGCUCCUUCCGGACCACGACGCCCAGCAGCUGGGCCUCCAGGCCCUGGGAUCGCCAGGACUCGUGGUGGCCACCUGCACCCACAGGAGGGUCAAGGGAAAGGACCCCACGUGACCAGGUGUGGGCUGACCCGUUGUUCCCCAACUGGAAUCCAGUAGCAGCGACUCAGCCUGCCCUAAUGUCCCCGGCCCAGGGCUGUCUGAAUACAGGGACAGGGCCUGGGCCUGAGGAUCAAUCAUCAGUGCCCACCUGAAGGAGGAAGCGUGAGUCAGAAGACAGGCUCUCUGCCCUUACUCAGCCUCGUGCUCCCAGCAGCACCCUUACCUGUUGCCACGGGUGAC